rnacentral:rRNA from 1 species
GGGAGAGGGGGGGGAGGAGCCGGGGGAAUAAGGGGGGGGGAACGGUGUUCCGGAUGUAUUGGGUUUAAAGGGUGCGUAGGCGGCCCGUGAAGUCAGUGGUGAAAGCCUCUAGCUCAACUAGAGAACUGCCAUUGAUACUGACAGGCUUGAGUACAGACGAGGUUGGCGGAAUUGAUUGUGUAGCGGUGAAAUGCAUAGAUACAAUCAAGAACUCCGAUUGCGUAGGCAGCUAACUAGGCUGUAACUGACGCUGAGGCACGAAAGCGUGGGGAGCGAACAGGAUUAGAUACCCUUGUAGUC